GAUGAACGCUGGUGGCGUGCCUAAUACAUGCAAGUCGAGCGAACAGACGAGGAGCUUGCUCCUUUGACGUUAGCGGCGGACGGGUGAGUAACACGUGGGUAACCUACCUAUAAGACUGGGAUAACUUCGGGAAACCGGAGCUAAUACCGGAUAAUAUUUCGAACCGCAUGGUUCGAUAGUGAAAGAUGGCUUUGCUAUCACUUAUAGAUGGACCUGCGCCGUAUUAGCUAGUUGGUAAGGUAACGGCUUACCAAGGCAACGAUACGUAGCCGACCUGAGAGGGUGAUCGGCCACACUGGAACUGAGACACGGUCCAGACUCCUACGGGAGGCAGCAGUAGGGAAUCUUCCGCAAUGGGCGAAAGCCUGACGGAGCAACGCCGCGUGAGUGAUGAAGGUCUUCGGAUCGUAAAACUCUGUUAUUAGGGAAGAACAAACGUGUAAGUAACUGUGCACGUCUUGACGGUACCUAAUCAGAAAGCCACGGCUAACUACGUG
rnacentral:rRNA from 1 species